rnacentral:rRNA from 1 species
CAGUAGCCGCGGUAACACGUAGGUGGCAAGCGUUGUCCGGAAUUAUUGGGCGUAAAGCGCGCGCAGGCGGAUCAGUCAGUCUGUCUUAAAAGUUCGGGGCUUAACCCCGUGAUGGGAUGGAAACUGCUGAUCUAGAGUAUCGGAGAGGAAAGUGGAAUUCCUAGUGUAGCGGUGAAAUGCGUAGAUAUUAGGAAGAACACCAGUGGCGAAGGCGACUUUCUGGACGAAAACUGACGCUGAGGCGCGAAAGCCAGGGGAGCGAACGGGAUUAGAUACCCCUGUAGUCCCUGUCUCUUAUACA